rnacentral:rRNA from 1 species
GACGAACGCUGGCGGCGUGCUUAACACAUGCAAGUCGAACGGAAAGGCCCUGCUUGCUGGGUGCUCGAGUGGCGAACGGGUGAGUAACACGUGGGUGAUCUGCCCCUUACUUUGGGAUAAGCCUGAGAAACUGGGUCUAAUACUGGAUAGAAGCAUGCUGUAGGGGGUGUGGUGGAAAGAUUAUUGUCGGUGAGGGAUGAGCUCGCGGCCUAUCAGCUUGUUGGGGGGGUAGUGGCCUAACGAGGCGGCGACGGGUGGCCGGCCUGAGUGUGUGGGCGGCCACACGGAGAGUGAGACACGGCAGAGUCUCAUGCGGGGGAGAACUGUGGAAUAUAGUACAAAGUGGGCAAGAGCGAGGUACCGCGGCGGCGCGUGGGGGGUGAGGGCCUGCGGGUUGUACUCCUCUCUCCAAUGACGAGGACCGCGAGUGACGGUAGUUGUAGAAGAAGCACCGGCUAACUACGUG